GCUCUGAGCAGGCCGACAGUCAUAGACGAGUAGACCUUAGGCGAGGGAAGGCAUGUACUUUCCCUAAGAAGCGGGAGGAGAGAAAUAAAUAGAGGGCAGUGGGAUGAGAAGAACCUCGCGGGAUGGGAAGCCGCGGAGGGAAGGGCCGUCUUUGGUUACCUGGAGAGCGGGAGCAGCUGCGGAUCCCUUAUGAAGUGCCCGGAUGAAGCUCCAGCGCUCACGCGCUUUCCGCAUUGAGUGCAGCGCCAUCUUGAGAAGGGCGGAGCCGUCUUGUUUGGAAUGACGUCUGUUCAGAGAGCCAAUCCCAGUCUCGCGACUCCUGCUUGCUGGGCGCGGCUUGGGCCUCCAGGCUGCGCAGCGCAGCCGCUAUCGGGCGGACUGCAGUUCUUGCCGAGCAGUCGCAAUGAUUUGUAUGACAGCUGCUAGCCCAAGAGAGAGUUCCAGAAGAGGGCUACCUAACAGGUGCUGUGGCAUUUAGAAGAGGAAUGGAGCCAUUGUCAACGCACAGCUUGCAGGGGAGCAGGAGAGUCAGUCUAAGAAGGAAAUGUGAUGAUGGAAACAGAGGUUGGAAGAUGGAAGAGGACCCAGAGUCAAGGAAUGCAGAUGGAGUCUUGCUCUGCUGCCCAGGCUGGAGUGCAGUGGACUGAUCUUGGCUCACUGCAGCGUCCAUCUUCCGGGUUCAAGCGAUUCUCCUGCUUCAGCCUCUCAAGUAGCUGGGAUUACAGGCGCCCACCACACCCGGCUAAUUUUUUUUUUUUUUAAUACUUUAAGUUUUAGGUUACAUGUGCACAACGUGCAGGUUUGUUACAUAUGUAUACAUGUGCCAUGUUGGUGUGCUGCACCCAUUAACUCGUCAUUUAGCAUUAGGUAUCUCUCCUAAUGCUAUCCCUCCCCCCUCCCCCCACCCCACAACCGUCCCCAGUGUGUGAUGUUCCCCUUCCUGUGUCCAUGUGUUCUCAUUGUUCAAUUCCCACCUAUGAGUGAGAACAUGCGGUGAUUGGUUUUUUCUCCUUGCAAUAGUUUGCUGAGAAUGAUGGUUUCCAGCUUCAUUCAUGUCCCUACAAAGGACAUGAACUCAUCAUUUUUUAUGGCUGCAUGGUAUUCCAUGGUGUAUAUGUGCCACGUUUUCUUAAUCCAGUCUAUCAUUGUUGAAUAUUUGGGUUGUUUCCAAGUCUUUCCUAUUGUGAAUAAUGCCACAAUAAACAUACGUGUGCAUGUG
rnacentral:lncRNA from 1 species